rnacentral:tRNA from 2 species
CAAAGAACAGUUUAAAUUAGAAUGCUAGCUUUGGGAGUUAGUGGUGACGGUUAAAGUCCGUCUUCUUUGA